GCGGAAGUGGUGGAAUUGGCAGACACGCUACCUUGAGGUGGUAGUGAGGGUAAUACCUCUUGGGGGUUCAAGUCCCCCCUUUCGCA
rnacentral:tRNA from 2 species